GUCUUCUUCUCUUCCAUGAGCAUGUUUGAAGGGGACUUUCCUGGUGGUCCGGUGGUUGAGAGUCUGUGCUCCCAAUGCAGGGAGCCCAGGUUCAACCCCUGGUCAGGGAAUUAGAUCCCACAUGCCACAAUUAAGAGUUUGCAUGCUGCAAUGCAGAUUGAAGAUCCCACAUGCCACAACUCAAGACCUGGCACAAUCAAAUAAAUAAAUAGUGUUAAAAAAAUAUUUGAAGAGAGGGGUUAGCUUUCUGACACCAACAGUAAUAUUUUUUUUUAGUUUUUUAAUGAGAGGGGACUAAUCUAGUGACAACAUUAAUCACCUUGUGAGACAUCUGCAGUCAUCAACCAUCAGCUCCUAUUGGAGAGACAAACCCAGAACACGGAGACUGGGUGCCACCAGUGGCCACCGAACCAGGAAGGGAGAGCCUUUCCUUUCCUUCCUGCUCGCCUCAUUUUCUCAGCUUUCUCCUCUUCCCCUUCUUCUCUAGCAACCACUUGAAAUCACCUCUCUCUUGCCCCUCGCUCUUCCCCAUCCUUCUUCUUUCCCUCCAUCUCACGCAUUUGCUAUAUUCUUUCCCUUUACUUCUCUAACUUGCACAUUGGAUUCAUCAGGAAAGUUGUAUAACCAUAGCAAAAAAUAUUUUUAAAUUAAAAACAAAGACUAAGAGUCUAGAGAUUCAGGAUAUGUUGGUCCCAGAAAACAUUUUCAUCAAUGUACCUUGGAUCUACUGUGUGUAUGGCACUAAUAAUCUUGUGGUAUCUGCCCUCCUAGACGAGUAAGCUAACUUCAGCUACGAGGGAAAAAAAUCGCAACUACAAAAUUAAAGACCAAAGGACUGGUCCACUGGUCCUUCAAAUGCAUCUGUGGUGAGUGAGGAUGGCUCAGAACAUAUCCAUCAUUGAAAGGCGCAUCAAGAAAUUUCAGAGGACUAUCCAAGAUGACAAUAACCAGACAUGCUGGUGCAGCAUACAAGUUUUGGAACAAACGUGGAAGGGUCAAUUCAAGCACUAGUUCUCAGAUCCAAAGAUGGAAACAAGGUUUAGGUAAGUAAGCCAAUUCAUUCAUUCACUCCAUGAGCAGUUAUUGGGUAGCUGCUCCCCAGAUGUGCUUCAGUUUGGCUCAAUUAGAAUUAUGUAAUUAUUCUGAAGUAAACAACCAAAUAUAAGCAAGUGCACAAACCAGGAAAACUUUUGGUCAAAUGACAGGCCAGGAUUUAAAAUUCAGAAACCUUGACCCCUCUUUGGGAAAGCUUUUUGGGAUCAGCUUUUAUGGUAGUUACUUAGGGGUUAGUCCUGGAGGCUAGAGGGAAAUUAAAAGCCUCUUGAAGGCUGACCUUUCAAACCAAAGUCUAGCCAUUGCUCAAUUCACAUUCAAGAUAGAGAAACAGAAGAUAGAGAAAAAGUUCACCAGACACACACAGUGAAAUAAAUUCAUGCAGAAUAAUAUUUCGAAGUGGACA
rnacentral:lncRNA from 1 species